rnacentral:rRNA from 1 species
UACGAAGGGGGCAAGCGUUGUUCGGAAUUACUGGGCGUAAAGGGCGCGUAGGCGGUGCGUUAAGUUAGGCGUGAAAGCCCUGGGCUCAACCCGGGAACUGCGCUUGAUACUGGCGCGCUUGAAUCCAGGAGAGGUUGGUGGAAUUCCCAGUGUAGAGGUGAAAUUCGUAGAGAUUGGGAAGAACACCCGUGGCGAAGGCGGCUCUCUGGAACGCAACUGACGCUGAGACGCGAAAGCGUGGGGAGCGAAACAG